GAAGGUCAAUGCCACCUUGCCAAGUGCCCCCCUGGGGAGUAAAAGGCUCUCUGCUCUCAAAUUUCUGGGCCUGAGAAUCCGAUUGAUCUGGCUUGGUUCCAGGGUCUCCUCCUGUGCUCAGGUGGCAAGGUGGCAUUGACCGUCAUGACUGCCACCUCCUGCAGAAAGGGAAACAGGACAGGCAACCCGUUGGGUAUCCCCUGUAAGAACAGGGAUGCAAAAGAUCUGUGGUGAAAACGAAGGAGAAAGUCCAGGAAUAAGUCUCAGUGGCAUAGCCGUCUUAACUUUCCAAACGAUGUUCUUUGUACCAGUUCCUGCAUUUUGUCUCUCCACGGGUCCGUGAAAUAGCCAAGGCACACGGUUUGCUUUUCUCGUUCAACAGAUGAGGAAACAGAAGUUAAGGCUGUUGCCUGAGGGCGCACAGCCACUAGACAGAGGAAGGACUAGAACCCAGGCUUUCUGGAGCCCACCCUGCCCCUCUGGUUCCCCCUGAAAUGGCACCCUGCUCUGUAACACACCACCCUGUCUGCUCUGGGGAGAUUGAGGGGGAGGAGCAAAGCCAGCCGGCAUCAGACUCAGCCCGGCCCUGAAAACAUGAAUGACGCAGCCACUCUUGUCUGCAGAGCAGGCUUAGUUGGCUGGAGGCCACCCUGUCUAACUCCCGCUCUAGUCGGUCUGGGUGUAACCCAGCCAUUAUGGUCUCUCUCUCUCGGGUUUCAAAUGCACAGGAACAAUUAAGUCAUUCUCAUAAUUUCAUGUGGUACAGAAAGUCCCAAGCCAAAAAUACCAUCCUUGGUUCCUACUUUUAGACUUUCAGGGAACUUCCCCCUCCUUCCCUCCCUGCAAUUCACUUUGAUUCCUUCUGUUUUUCUCUUCUUGAAUGCAUUGGCCAGGUUACCUAACGAUGAGCUGCAGACCCAACACAGAUCAAAAUAAACCCAACCUCCGUUUGGCAGGAGUGGUGAAAAGCGGGGAUUAUCGGCGGUCCUCAGAUACAGAAGCUUAAAACACAAGAGUGUGCAGAUCUCACCUCCAGCAUGUGGGGACAGGGGAACUGAUCAGUAAAUAACCACGGAAGGAUGAUGGGGUGACAAGUGGAAGUGGUGGUAUGUGGUAUAUUCCUGUUAUUAUUUCUGGGUUCUAAGUAACCACAGUCAAGUCCCUUUCUGUGUCUUCAGUGUAUAAAAUUUCUUGUCCCCUAGGACUGUCACAUCAGUCCUCUGUUACUUCCUUAAAUCAUUAAUUUUUCUAGAUCUUUCUCAGAUGUAUAUUAACUGUUAGGUCUUGACAGACAACUCAUUUAGUCUUUGUGUACACACACACACUCUCGUGUGCACACACGGUGUCUUUGCCUUGGUGCCUGGUACGUGCUGCUGGACCACCAUUUAAGUUAUAGCAAGAACUAAAUGCAAUGAAUUCUGUUUAGAGAUGGUUUGGAAGUUUCUUCCAUAGGAACAGAUUUAUAAGCUUAUUUGUAGCAUGUCUUUUCCCUAGAGCAGUGGUUCUCAAAAGCUCUAGCUUGCGUCAGAAUCACCUGGAGAAUUCAUAAAAACACGGAUUGUUGAUCCCACCCAGAGCAUCUCAUUCAGCAGGGCUGGGGUGGGGCCAGGACUCUGCAGUUCUAACAAAUUUCCAGAUCUUGCUGACAUGGCCCCUUUCUUUUGUGAACUAGACUAAUCAAGAAUGGUGCUUUCAUCACUAGGCUUCCUCAGCCGCCGUGCUGACUUGCUUUCGCUGUUUCUGUGCCUUCAGUUGUGCUGUCCCUGGAAAGCCCCCCUCUUCCCCAUUGGCCAACCAAGUCCUCUGCAUCUGCCAGACCCAGCCCAAGCUCCCACUCCUCCACCUACCCUUUCCUGACUACUCUGACUCACUCAUGUCACUUCCCUUCUCUGAACUCGUCCAAUUUUUAAAAUAAGCCGAAGAAUUGAUUCUGUGGCUUCUAUCACGUGCACGUUGCUUGUUAGUCCUUUCCCCGUAGAGGCCGACCACAUUUGGUUAUUGAACAUGGCUGUGCCUCAUAUACUCUUCUGUGUGUCCCUGUGCCUUGCACAGGGCUAAGCACCUUGUAGAUAACUCAACAAUUUAUUGAUUGAUGAAGGUUCAAAGUGAAUUCAGAGAGGAAAUAGAAUGCCGCGUCUACCACCGAUGGGCAUUGCCUGAUACACCCACCAAUUGCGAUCUGAUACAGUAACCCCAGUGACUUCUGCGCCCAAAGCCACAGACCUUUCUGCCGGAUUCAGCAGUACCCAGGCUUCAGUCUUUAGGGAAAGGAUGUUAUGCGCUUGCUCAGUAUGGUGGACACCCAGGCCCACUCUCAGAGCCAUCUGAAUGGUUGCCAUCACCAUGCCUGUUGACAGCUGUGCAUGAGAAUCAGUCACUGGACCCCGGGGCAGCGUGAUGGCUGGAGUGUGUCAGCAUGCACGGAGAAGCACCGAGAGGAGGGGGGAUGAUGGCAGUCGUGCCGGGAAAGUAGGUUGGGACCAGAUUGUGAAGGUCUUAACGUGGUAUAUUAGGGGCUUGGUCUUUGUCCUAUAGAAAACAGAGGGUUUUUAGAAAAGAGAAUGUCAAUCAAGUUUGUUUGUUGCGAUCAUAAUUACGGAGGUCACGGGCUUCGUAUGGAGAAGGUAAGAAACUGACAGAGGCAAACUUGAGAGUAGAGUGGUUUUGAUUUGAAGGAUUCUUUCCUGAUGGCCAGCAUUCCCUCCCUUUCCUCAGGUGCUGUUUUAGUAUCUGGGUGAUGUUUAGUUUCCUAGGGCUGCUGUAACAAAUGAUCAAAAGCUGGGUGGCUUGAGGCAACAGAAACUUACUCUCUCCCACUUUUAGAGGCUAGAAUCCAAGGUUGGUAGGAUCACGCUCUCCGAAGGCUCCAGGGGAGAACCUGUUCCACGCCUUUCUCUUGGCUCCUGGUGUCACCACGGUCCUUAGUUUGCAGAUGCAUCACUCGUCUCUGCCUCCGUCGUCACACGGCCUUCCCCACCACGUGUCUGUCUCUCCUCCUCCUCUUACAAGGGCGCCAUAUUGGACACACUGGAUUAAGGCCCGCCUAAUGACCGCAUCAUAACUUGAUUACACCUACAAAGACCCAUUUUCCAAGUUAGAUGACGUUCAUUCACAAGCACUGGGGGCUUAGGACUUCAACAUACCUUUUCCUGGAGGGGGACGCAGUGGACCCCGUCGCAGGCACUUGCUCUGCCACACCCUGCUGUUUUAGGGCUCAAGGAAGCAAGGGCUUGCCGCGCUUCCCAGCUGGCCCUCUCCCCUGUGUGAUGUGCUCUUGGGGAGGGUCAGGAAGCUGCCUUCACCUCCAGUGAUACUAGCGGCUCAUUUAAGUAGUUAUGAAGGGAGGGUCCACAGGAGCAAAGCAGCAGGAGGUGGGGAGCUGACCUGAAAGACCAGCCGGGGUGCUGUUGCAGGUGAGAAAAAAGUGACCUCAAGUAAGUCCGCGGCUGUGAGAAUCGAGAGGAGGGGGUAGAACUGAAAAACAGGUCAAAAGGAAGAAGCAGUGGGAUUGGUUGUAGGGGGAGGAAGGACUCAAGGGUAAUUCUGCGUCUGCUGAAUGAUGUGAGAGAGUGUGUGUAUAGGUGUGUAAUAUCUAUCUGUAUAGUACACAAGCAUUUAUUAAUUUGGGGGGAAGAUAAAGCCUUAGGGACAAGCCUCUCUUCUGAGUCUCUCCUCAGUUGACUAAGGUGAUGCUUUAUGGUGGUGGGAAGGAGAGGAAUAAACUGGCAAUGCUAAGGAAGAAAGUGGAGAGCAACCUUGGAAAUCUGUGGGAAUAAAGAUUUUUAAAGAAAAAAUGGGGUGAGGGGAAGACACAACUUUUGGCCCACAACCUGCUGAGAGAUUCCUCUAAACGGAGCAUAGCCUGAGCCAGUGGCAACCACUCACCUGCUAAGUGGACUCCUGACCCCGCCCUACAGGUCCUUCAUCAGGUCAGUUCCAGGCUGUCUUCCAGCCUGAGAGCGGGCCGCUGGCUGACCUCCAGGGAGACUCAAAUGUUCCUUGUGAACAUACGUUGCCAGGCUCCCGCAUAAUCCUCGUAAUACUCUCUUCACCCGUCGGUAGCUAGCUUUUGCACCUGUUACAUCUCAUUCGGUUUUCACCACCUUGGAACAGUGGGAAGUCCCUUGAACAGGUCACAAGAACUGAAUUCGUGUCUUCUCAGUUUUUUCCCUAGGAGUGGGGGUUAGUGCUCGCACAAGACGCUUAGCUUCUCAAAGCUCCAUUUUCUCAUCGGCAAUGGACCAAUAGCACCAUUCUUACAGGAUUAUGGGGGGGAUAAAAGUCAGCUAAUGCAUGUAAAGUGCUUGGCUCAGAGCUGGUCCCUAAUACAUAUUCAUUCCCUUUCCCCUCCGCUUCUCUCUUCCUUCUCUUUUUCUUCCAGGUUUUCUGACUUUUGGGGCCUAAGCCUCUUUUUUCCAUUCUACUUCUCUGGAAAUAAAGCAUAAAUUAAAAAAUAGAUAAACUAGGAACAAAUUCCUGUAAAGGAUUUGUUUUAAACUCAUGGGAAUCAAUUGUAAACUGCAUUCUUGUCCAAAGGGCUGGAUUAGGGGUUUUGGAGUCCUCGAAGCAAACUGUGAGAGUGAAGGUGAGAAGCAAAUGUCAGAAUUAUCAUCGGGAUUAAUGCAGACCUAAUUCAGAGGCAGAGUCUGUGGCUCCCUCUGCCUCUUUCCCACACCGGCCGGUCCCAGCUGCUGGAAUCUGUCAGCUGGGGCUCCUGCUUCUUCCAACAGAAAACAGCUCUGCAGAACCUCAUCCUCCCGGGGCCCAGGGUAUCGAAGCAGCUGUUGGCAGAUCAGGUCGGCUAACCCGGGCUCAAGUGCCACCCGAGACGCUGGAGAGUGGCCGCUGCCCAGGUCAUCCCGGAAGCGCCUCUGGAUGAGGUCCACUUGGACUCAGUUUCGCUCUGAAGUUAGAAAGCAGUGGCCUGCAUUUCCAGCUACAGAAAAGUGGGAUCGGUGAUCCGGGCGGGUCUGCCCCCUCGACCUUCUGCCUCUGUGCUCUCCUGCGUUUCCCCGACAGGAGUGCUUUCCCAGUGUCCCCAGACCGGAGGUUCCAUGUCAGAGUCCCUCCCACAGAGAUUUUGGCCCGAGGUGCAAAGAUACAGGUACAAGAAGGCUUACAGCCACGUUGCUCUUAAUAGGGAAAACAGGAAAAUGACCCCAAGGGCUAGCUAGCCACAGGGCUUUUUUAGAUGAAUGGCAUCAUGGGCAAGUCACUCACCCUCCCAGAACUUCCAGAUCCUCGUGUGUUACUUGUAAAUCACUAGUCCCCAGCCUGC